CCUACGGGGGGCAGCAGUGGGGAAUAUUGGGCAAUGGGCGCAAGCCUGACCCAGCAACGCCGCGUGAAGGAAGAAGGCUUUCGGGUUGUAAACUUCUUUUGUCAGGGAAGAGUAGAAGACGGUACCUGACGAAUAAGCCACGGCUAACUACGUGCCAGCAGCCGCGGUAAUACGUAGGUGGCAAGCGUUGUCCGGAUUUACUGGGUGUAAAGGGCGUGUAGCCGGGUUGACAAGUCAGAUGUGAAAUCCUGCGGCUUAACCGCAGAACUGCAUUUGAAACUGUUGAUCUUGAGUACUGGAGAGGCAGACGGAAUUCCUAGUGUAGCGGUGAAAUGCGUAGAUAUUAGGAGGAACACCAGUGGCGAAGGCGGUCUGCUGGACAGCAACUGACGUUGAGGCUCGAAGGCGUGGGGAGCAAACAGGAUUAGAUACCCUUGUAGUC
rnacentral:rRNA from 1 species